rnacentral:rRNA from 1 species
AGAGUUUGAUCCUGGCUCAGGAUGAACGCUAGCUACAGGCUUAACACAUGCAAGUCGAGGGGCAUCAGGAUCUAGCAAUAGAUUGCUGGCGACCGGCGCACGGGUGAGUAACACGUAUCCAACCUGCCUUAUACUCGGGGAUAGCCUUUCGAAAGAAAGAUUAAUACCCGAUAUCAUACUCUUGCCGCAUGGUAAGAUUAUGAAAGGAUUCCGGUAUAAGAUGGGGAUGCGUUCCAUUAGGCAGUUGGUGGGUAACGGCCACAAACCUUCGAUGGAUAGGGGUUCUGAGAGGAACGGUCCCCCANAUUGGAACUGAGACACGGUCCAAACUCCGUACGGGAGCA